rnacentral:rRNA from 1 species
UACGAAGGGUGCAAACGUUGCUCGGAAUUAUUGGGCGUAAAGGGCGCGUAGGUGGCGGGACAAGCGUGCGGUGAAAGCCUGGGGCUCAACCCCGGGUCGGCCGUGCGAACUGUUUUGCUUGAGCACUGUAGAGGCAGGCGGAAUUCCGGGUGUAGCGGUGGAAUGCGUAGAUAUCUGGAGGAAUACCGGUGGCGAAGGCGGCAUCCUGGACCGAGAUUGACACUAAAGCGCGAAAGCCAGGGGAGCAAACGGG